rnacentral:rRNA from 1 species
GGAUAUUGCGCAAUGGGCGAAAGCCUGACGCAGCGACGCCGCGUGGGUGAUGAAGGCCUUCGGGUCGUAAAGCCCUGUCAGGAGGGACGAAACCUCGCCGACCGAAUACGUCGGCGACCUGACGGUACCUCCGAAGGAAGCACCGGCUAACCCCGUGCCCGCAGCCGCGGUAAUACGGAGGGUGCGGGCGUUGUUCGGAAUCACCGGGCGUAAAGCGCGUGUAGGCGGCCUCCUAAGUCUGGUGUGAAAGCCCGGGGCUCACCCCCGGAAGUGCACUGGAUACUGGGAGGCUCGAGUACCGGAGAGGAGGGUGGAAUUCCUGGUGUAGCGGUGAAAUGCGUAGAUAUCAGGAGGAACACCUGUGGCGAAGGCGGCCCUCUGGACGGAUACUGACGCUGAGACGCGAAAGCGUGGGGAGCAAACAGG